CUACAUUGAUAAUUUUGCAGAUUUCUACAAAUAAAGAUAGAUUAGAAAAAAAAAAAUUUGCCUUCAGUUAACUAUAUUUUUAACAUAAAGGUAUCAGCAUGGAGGACUUAGAUUACGCUACCUGUGUUUGAAAAUAAUGCGCUUUGCCUAACCUUCAGCAGAAUGUAUUGUUUUAGCAUAUUCUAUGUAUAAAAAAGUUUAAAGAUGUCUUCAAAGAAGACUAGAGUCUUUAAGUCACUUAUAGCUAUAUUUUACUACAAAAAUCGGUGUAUAAAGAUAUAUUUAAGUGUUUUAGAUAAAUUUAAGUUACUCCAUAUGAAAUGUUUAAUUUCAGUUACUGUGAAUUCUUUUGAUCAGUUCUUUGCUUUUUAAAAAUCCCUAUCCAUCCUGUUAAAAAGAAAAUUAACUAUUAAGAGGUAUUAAAAGAUUCAAUUCUUAGAUGGACAGGGUUUAAAACCUUUUGUAAUAUAUUCAAAUGUAUAUUUUUGAGAGAGAUGCUGCAUUGCCAAUGUUCUGAAAUGUUUCUAAAAAGUGAACAUUUAAAAAAUACUGUGUUUUCUCCCUAGCUUCCUGUUAUAGCAUUUCCAAUUGCUUCAUACUUCACAGUUUUAAUGAAUACAAAGUAUAAGCUCUACUUUAUAACACAUCCUGUAGGUUUCUUUAAAACUGUUUUUAUAUUCCAGUUACAUUUCUCUAUCUGAAAACUCUUUUGUUACUGCUGCAGGUUACACCCUUCAUUCUUAGAGGCCAUUUUGUUUUGUUUGUUUUAU
rnacentral:lncRNA from 1 species